UACAGGGGGUGCAAACGUUGCUCGGAAUUAUUGGGCGUAAAGCGCACGUAGGCGGUUCGUUAUGUCGGAUGUGAAAGCCCUUGGCUCAACUGAGGAAGUGCAUCCGAAACUGGCGAGCUAGAGUAUGUAAGAGGGUCGCGGAAUUCCCGGUGUAGAGGUGAAAUGCGCAGAUAUCAGGAGGAACACCGGUGGCGAAGGCGGGUCUCUGGGCCGAUACUGACGCUGAGGAGCGAAAGCGUGGGGAGCGAACAGG
rnacentral:rRNA from 1 species